UCUGUUGUUAGAGAAGAACAGGGGCGAGAGUAACUGUUCGUGCCUUGACGGUAUCUAACCAGAAAGCCACGGCUAACUACGUGCCAGCAGCCGCGGUAAUACGUAGGUGGCAAGCGUUGUCCGGAUUUAUUGGGCGUAAAGCGAGCGCAGGCGGUUUCUUAAGUCUGAUGUGAAAGCCCCCGGCUCAACCGGGGAAGGGCAUUGGAAACUGGGAAACUUGAGUGCAGAAGAGGAGAGUGGAAUUCCAUGUGUAGCGGUGAAAUGCGUAGAUAUAUGGAAGAACACCAGUGGCGAAGGCGGCUCUCUGGUCUGUAACUGACGCUGAGGCUCGAAAG
rnacentral:rRNA from 1 species